UCAGGAUGAACGCUAGCUACAGGCUUAACACAUGCAAGUCGAGGGGCAGCGGGAUUGAAGCUUGCUUCAAUUGCCGGCGACCGGCGCACGGGUGAGUAACGCGUAUCCAACCUUCCGUACACUCAGGGAUAGCCUUUCGAAAGAAAGAUUAAUACCUGGUGGUAUGAUGAGAUUGCAUGAUAGCAUCAUUAAAGAUUUAUCGGUGUACGAUGGGGAUGCGUUCCAUUAGGUAGUAGGCGGGGUAACGGCCCACCUAGCCAACGAUGGAUAGGGGUUCUGAGAGGAAGGUCCCCCACAUUGGAACUGAGACACGGUCCAAACUCCUACGGGAGGCAGCAGUGAGGAAUAUUGGUCAAUGGACGAGAGUCUGAACCAGCCAAGUAGCGUGAAGGAUGAAGGUCCUACGGAUUGUAAACUUCUUUUAUAAGGGAAUAAACCCUCCCACGUGUGGGAGCUUGUAUGUACCUUAUGAAUAAGCAUCGGCUAACUCCGUGCCAGCAGCCGCGGUAAUACGGAGGAUGCGAGCGUUAUCCGGAUUUAUUGGGUUUAAAGGGAGCGCAGACGGGUCGUUAAGUCAGCUGUGAAAGUUUGGGGCUCAACCUUAAAAUUGCAGUUGAUACUGGCGUCCUUGAGUGCGGUUGAGGUGUGCGGAAUUCGUGGUGUAGCGGUGAAAUGCUUAGAUAUCACGAAGAACUCCGAUUGCGAAGGCAGCACACUAAUCCGUAACUGACGUUCAUGCUCGAAAGUGUGGGUAUCAAACAGGAUUAGAUACCCUGGUAGUCCACACGGUAAGCGAUGGAUACUCGCUGUUGGCGAUAUACUGUCAGCGGCUUAGCGAAAGCGUUAAGUAUC
rnacentral:rRNA from 1 species